GAUUGACGGGGACGUCACCUAUCGAAUAGGAGCGGGGUGGUCAAAGUGGAGGCUUGCUUCAGUGGUCCUGUGUGACAAGAAAAUUUCACACAAACUUAAGGGGAAAUUCUACAGAGCCGUGGUUAGACCUGCGAUGUUGUGUGGGGCGGAGUGCUGGCCCGUGAAGAACUCCCAUGUUCAGAGAAUGAAGGUUGCGGAGAUGAG
rnacentral:lncRNA from 1 species